ensembl:snRNA U6 U6 spliceosomal RNA
GUGCUCGCUUUGGCAGCACAUAUACUAAAACUGGAAUGAUACAGAGAAGAUUAGCAUGGCCCCUGCACAAGGAUGAAAUGCAAAUUCCUGGACCAUUCCAUAUUUUU